rnacentral:lncRNA from 1 species
UUUUUAUUUGAGAGAGAGCAAGCGGGUGCAUGCACAUGUGAGCAGGGGGAGAGGCAGAGGGAGAGGAAGAAACAGACUCCCCACUGAGUGCAAAGCCUGAUGCAGGGGUCGAUCUCAGGACCCUAAGAUAAUGACCCAAACCAAAACGAAGAGUUGGACAUCCAACUGAUAGAGCCACCCAGGUGCCCCAUGGGGUUGGGAACUUGGUUAGGAUUAAGACCUCACUCCCUUUCCUGCCCAUAACCCAAAGAUCAGUGUUGUUCCAAUACCUUUGGGUUCUCCACCUCUGUGUCCACCACUUCACCCCACCCCUACACUCCCGAAAGGAAGGACUCGGCUAGUCGUCCUCUCUCCGACAUCCUCACAUCUCACUGGCCUGCCAUGCAGUUGUGGGAGAGACACAACAGAUCUUUGGAUCUCCAUUGCUUCACUGGUAAACUGAGGAAUCAUGUCAGAUGUUGCAAAGAGGUAGCCCUGACCAGACCGUUGGGCACGCUUUGGGUGUGUUAGCUUGUUUGCUUUAUGUUUUCUUUUCAUCUGUUUUUGCUUCCUCUGUGGUGUUUUUGAAGAAUUGCAGGCUGAGUCACCAGCAUGUAGAGUUCAGGAAUUUCACAUAACGAUCUGGAUCUCUGGCUUCCCUCAAUGUGUCAGAGGUCUGUAAACACUGGGUCCACCUGCCAGGGCUGAGGAGCAGAUAGAGUGUGUUCUUUCUGGAUCACCACAGACCUCACCAGGCCCUAUUGUACACCCCUCUAGCUCCUUCACCUGUCUCUGCAGCUUCUUUAGCCCCUGUUACAUCACUUGGAACCCCUGCCUUAGAAACCCUCUGAUGCUCAAGAUUAAAGGAUGAACCUGAAACUUCCCCGUGGGUUCUGUGAUGGGGGCGAGGGGAUAGUCAGUGGCUUGUAACUGGCUCCCCACCCUGGAAUUCAGCACCUUUACAUGCCUUAUUGUCCUGGCAUCUCUCAUUCCCCAGGCUGCUCUGUGUCUUCGGUGUGCAAGAAAGGGACAUUGGAAAGAGAGCUCCAGGGACCCCUGGGUAGCUCAGUGGUUGAGCAUCUGCCUUCGGCUCAGGUUGUGAUCCCAGGGUCCAGGGAUCGAGUUCUACAUCAGGCUCCCCAUGGUGAGCCUGCUUCUCCCUCUGCCUGUGUCUCUGCCUCUCUCUCUUUCUCAUGAAUGAAUAAAUUAAAAAUUAAAAAAAAAAAAAAAAAAGAAAGAGAGCUCCAGAACCAGUGAAUCCCGGCUUUGCCACUUCCUAGGUAGCCAACUGUUGAUUUCCUUAUUUUUAGAAAUGAUUUUAAAAAAAUAAUAAAUAUCUUCACGGAGUUGUCAUGAGAAUAAUUAAGUAUUGAGACUCUGCCUAUACAGCAGGGGGAAGGGACCCACUGUGAAAAGGUGCCUUUAUCCAAUAUCAUAAUUGUAUUUAUAGUAAUCGUAGGCACUAAUUGGGCUCCAAGUGAUGUGCUAAAGACGUUGUGCACCUGAACUCACUGAAUUCUCCUGAUAACUGUAUGGGGUAGAUAUCACUCUUGUGGAACCAAUGACAAGCAUGGAGACUCAGAGAGGUUAAGUAACUUUUCCAAAAUUGCACAGAUAGCAAAUAACCAGAUCCAAAUCCAGGUAUUUGGACUCUGGAGCCUAUUUGCUUAAUCAUGCAGCCAUGCCCCAAUGUACUACUCAUCUUCCUGUUUGCAUGAUCAGAGACUAGGGGACAUGGUUGGAUCCAAGGUCAUGAGUGAGGACGUGGAGGACACUGUUCUUUUCCCAGAAGGGAUUCACCCUCACCUGCAUCUUAUCAACUCUGAGCAGGACAUGCCUCUGAAUGUCCUGCUUUCAUCCUCUUCCCGCCCCUCCACCUCCAUCACCUGUUUGCCAUAUGGCAGCCAAAACGUUGCUCUUAAAAUACAAACAGAAUAAUGCAGUGCCUUCCCAAAACCUUCCAGCGGCUUCCCAGAGUCCUGAAAAUAUAGUUAACCUCUCCUGUCAGCCCAGGCGUUCAUUACUCAUCUUCCCCUCCCUCCUCGCUCCAGGCACACUGGCCUCCUCCCAACACCAGGCCCUCUCUGCCCCCCAGGCCUUGGAUCUGGUUGUUCCCUCUCUGGUCUUCCCCAGGCCUCACCCAAGCCUGUCCUCCGACCUUCCCGACUCCCCGGUCUCCACCAUCUGCCUCCAAACAUGCCCUGGGCGGUUAGAGUGUCAGCUCAGCCAGACAGGGACUUCUUGAUUCACUGCUGUUUCCAUGGGCCACUUGACACGAUACCUGUCUACAGCAGGUACUUCUUAAAGAUUUCUGAACAAAUGGGACAGGAUUUACCAGAGGGGUUGCACAUCCAACCAUUUGCAACAUGACUCUACGACUCCCUCAUCAGGAAUUGGGGGCUUGGAUGCGGAGUGGCCUUGCAAUUUGCUUUGGCUAAGAAAAUAUGGUGGAGGUGAAUUGCGCUGGCUUCACACAUCUCUGUUCUCAGCUCUUCCUCAUACCCCAGUGCCGUCCCUGGAGCCAAGAAGUAGGUUUUAAGCAGGUAGGUGACAAAGAUGAAGAAGGAUGUAGCUGAAGGGUGUAUCUUGGAAGUGAGAUCAGAAUGGAUUCAAGGGACCAGUGAGCAGGCACCCACCGCACGGACCCCGAUGAGGAAGGACCCGGGCACUCCUGCUAUUCACCCCUUCACAAGCAAGUAAGGAGCGGAGUUGGGGUUUGCACCUGAUCACGGUGGCAACUGCGGGGCAUGUUGCUGGUUUACCUGCUUACUGCUUUUCGCAUGCAGAGUCUGUGAUCUCCAUAUCUUCAUUCUUGCCUCCCCAUCACUACCAUAGCCUGUGCAGAGCCCUGUUUUGUUUAGCUCACUUACAGCCGACCAGAAUGCCAGACCUCGCCAGGAAGAGGAAUGCAAGAAGUGGGACCAUCUGGCUGGCGGGAGAGUGUGGCUGCUGCAUGCAAACUGGUGAACGCCCUGCAGGACAGGAAACCCUAACACCUGGGGGUAGCUUGUCUAUCAGAGUGAACAAAAACAGACACCUGAACCGGCUUUAUGCAGGUUAACCUGGGACUUGGCAGGAGUGGUAAAUGACGGCUUCUAAACAAUUGUUAGUUAAAUGGUUUCAUCUACAACGUGACCCUCAGACAGGACUUGUUAAUGCUCUAGCAAUAUUUCAUAAGGAGGCACCCCUCAAUGUUACUUUCGAGUUCGGGGCUCUUCCUAAUGGGGGUGCACCCCUUCUUCCCCACUCUCCCGGAGAUGGACAUUUAGGAGGCUCCUACUCACUGCCCCCCAAGCAACAUGGAGAUGGACACUGGUGCCUGUGGUGAGUUGGGGGUGGGAUGGAGAACCACCAUGAGGUCCUGUCUGCACCACUCUGCACCCCCACCAGCUGGCACAACGUUUGCUCGUGGCCUUGCAAAGGGGCCUUCUGUUUCAGCCAUCCAGCAUCUCCUUCCUUUUGAGGGGCUGCUCCCAAGUCUUGGAGACAUGUCAUUCUGGGAUGUGGAAGCUGAUCGGAUGGACACACCCCCGGGUGGGUACCAAGGGGGUGAACACCCCAGUGCCCACUUCUGCAUCUCCUUAGCUGUCUUGGUUCCCCAAUCCUAACCAGGACCUGGGCUCAUGGGGACUUUGCUUUCUGAGUGACACAAGGGGGAGCAGGGCUAACACGCCCUCAUCAGCAGUCCACACUGAUGGGAGGCAUGUAUGUCAAAGGGCUCCCCUGAGGAAAUCAGGGCCUAGGGGAGCUCAUCAGAAGGUGUAGAGCCUGAACAGCCAAAGGAGUGCUGGCACUGGUGAUAGAGGUGGGGAGCCCUGAGUGAGCUGGAGCUGGGGGCAUGAGGAGCAGGGGCCAGUGCAGUGGAGUCGGACCACCCACUUCAGAUCCAUGACCACGGCCAGCCACUUACCCUUCCCAUGCCUCUGUUUCCCCAUCUGUGUAACGUGACUACUUCACUGGACUGUAGUGAUAAAUCAGAUGGUAGAUUUCAACACUUGAUACGGGACCUGCCCCACAGCCAGUGGCAGUUUAUCCUGCCAUCUAUCACUGGAACUCCAUCCUCAGACCUCACCCCACCCCUGCAUGCUCCCCCCAGUAUCCUCCUGAGAUCUUGCAGCAGCAGACGCAGAGGCUUCUCCACACUGGUUUCCUCUGCUGGAUAGUGGGUGCAGUGAUGCAGUGCUGUGAUGAACGUGCCUGUGGGUGUUCGUGUUGGCAAGCAAUGUGUUUGUCUACACACUGCCCCCCUGGACCUCCUACCCACCCUUCCCACCCCCACCCCAUGGUGCUUGUUGACACCUAGGGGCUGGACCAGGGCACCCUGGCAGACACAUGGCAUUCCUUGAGACUGCUUGGUGCCCAAACCUCCCCCAGCUGUUUGAGGACUGUCCUGCCUCACAGGUCAUUGAAGUGGGGUGCCAGCCUCUAGCUACAGAUGUCUGACAGUCUAGUUAUUUGCCCUCCCAGACUCCCUUAUGCUAGGGGAUG